AUAUUAAAAUUGUUGCAGUUAAAAAGCUCGUAGUUGAAUUUCUGCUGCAUCGCUGUGUCCCUUCGGGGUCUCUGCAUGUGGCUUAUUUCGGACGGAGUUCGCUUUGUCUGGAUGUUUACUUUGAGAAAAUUAGAGUGCUCAAAGCAGGCUUUUGCCUUGAAUAGUUUAGCAUGGAAUAAUAAAGUAGGACUUUGGUUCUAUUUUGUUGGUUUUAGGUACCAAAGUAAUGGUUAAUAGGAACAGUUGGGGGCAUUCGUAUUUAACUGUCAGAGGUGAAAUUCUUAGAUUUGUUAAAGACGAACUACUGCGAAAGCAUUUGCCAAGGAUGUUUUCAUUAAUCAAGAACGAAAGUUAGGGGAUCGAAGACGAUCAGAUACCGUCGUAGUCCUAACCAUAAACAAUGCC
rnacentral:rRNA from 1 species